rnacentral:rRNA from 1 species
AUUGAACGCUGGCGGCAUGCCUAACACAUGCAAGUCGAGCGGAUGAACGGGGCUUGCUCCUGGAUUCAGCGGCGGACGGGUGAGUAAUGCCUAGGAAUCUGCCUGAUCGUGGGGGAUAACGUCCGGAAACGGGCGCUAAUCUCGCAUACGACCUUAUGUAGAAAGUGGGGGAUCUUCGGUCCUCACGCUUUCUGAUGAGACUAGGUGGGAUUAGCUAGUUGGUGGGGUAAAGGCCUACCAAGGCGACGAACCGUAACUGGUCUGAGAGGGUGACCAGUCACACUGGAACUGAGACACGGUCCAGACUCCUACGGGAGGCAGCAGUAGGGAAUAUUGGACAAUGGGCGAAAGCCUGAUACAGCAACGCCGCGUGAGUGAUGAAGGUCUUCGGAUGGUAAAGCACUGUAAGUUGGGAGGAAGGGAAGUAAGUUUAACCGUGGCUAUUUUGACGUUACCAACAGAAUAAGCACCGGCUAACUACGUG